rnacentral:lncRNA from 1 species
CCAGGGACUCCCGGAGAAACUGGGAGAGAGUGCUUCCAUCUUCAUUUCACUUUAAACUUGGCCGCUUUCUGGGACUUCACUGAGGGGCGGCGGAGUCGCACCAGCCUGGACCACAAGCUGAUUCCAGCGAGCACUUCCAAAUACUUUAGGACGCGGGGGUGACUCCUUUUUUCUUCAGGAUUGUCCCACUUGCCACCCUUCCCUGCUGAGCGGAUAGGAACCGCUUAAGACCGGGAGAUAAAGGUUUGCAGUUCCCCCUGGGGACCAAACUAUAGAGAGAGAGAGUGAAUGAGAAAUCCAAAGACUUUGCACUGCUGGACUAAAUAACUUUUCUUUUUCAUUUCCUUCCUUUCUUUUCUUUUCUUUUCUUUCUCCCUUCCUUUUCUUUCUUUCCUUUUUCUUUCAGGGCGGACCGAGGUGAGCAGGGGGCACACUUAACCAGCUGUAAGAAGACCAGGGCUGGGAGCAGAGCAGUUAAAAUAUCUCCUUGGGUGGUUCUAAGAGGGUGUGUGUGUGUGGUUAUAAGAGGGUGUUGGGGGGUAUGAGAGGGGUGUGUGUGUGUGUGUGUUGCAAAAGAAAGAUGAAAUCCAUGUCUCUUUAAUGUGGGGAGUAGUGAUGUGUAACUUUACAGUGUUCUUUUAUUUUGCAAGCCCUACCAAGCUCACAAAAACAUCCUCUCUUCCUUUAGUUUAGCCUUCCUGUUGUACAUUAUACAUUAUAUUUGAAAGUGCUUUCCUCAUUUAAUCUUAUCUCAAGAAAGCACUCUCUGGCAAAGCCAUGUACCCUCCCCUCCUAUCCAGUCUGAUUAGAAUUUGCCAAUAGAAAGGAAGAAGCAAGCUUUGCUUUAGUUUGACAGUAGAAGGUGGCAAGACUUUCCAGGAGAAGCUAUGAUAUUGUUUACCAAAUGAUCUCAAAGUUAACAGAGGGUAGUUUUUAUUCUUACCUCCACCAAAGAAAGGCCUCUGAAAAUAAAUAAAUAAAAAGAGAUUACAGUUUCUACUUUGCCCAUGUAAUUAUUGGCAUUAACCAACUCAAAAAUUUGUAUACUUUUAAGUAUCUAAACAAUCUUAAUUUAUUCCCAAAUCCCAUGUCUACACCAUGUCACUUUUAAAAUUACGUUAAAUUUCUUUCUCUCCCAAAUUGUUCUUGUAUGGACCUGUAGUCAUAAAUGUUGGACUAUAUUUUCCCAGAAUAAUUCAGAAUUUGAAAAAAGUUGAGUUUUGCUAAUUUCAGACAGUAAAUGGAAAUAUGAAUGUUUUGCAGUUGUAAUGAUGAAUACUGAAAGAAAAGUUUCUGAUUAUAUUAUUAUUUAGCAUUUUUUUCUAAGGCAGUGAGAAAGGUACGAUUUACUCUAUUUUAAAAUUGUUUUUAACAAUUUGCUUACCUCAUGAAUUUUCUUAUUUCUGUGGUUUGAAGUAUAUGAUGAAUUGUCACUUUAGUUCAUUUUUUUGUUUGAUCUAUGCUUUAAAAAGCUUAUUUAAUUUGGAAUUGUCUCCACAUUUUCUGGGUGAUGAAUUGGUGUUGUGAAGAGUCUUAGAUUAUUUUUCCCAAUAUAAAGUUCUCUGUAAUUCAAGGCCAGAAAAUGAUGUGAAAAAACAACCAGGAAAUACAAGUUUCUGAAAUGAAGAAAUAACAUUUUUUAAAAACUUAGUUAACAUAUAAUAAAGGAAAUCCAACCUCAAGCUUUUUAACUAUCAUAGCUGUGCCCUACAUACCUCUGAAAUCUAAAAAGAGAUCUGCUUAUCUUAGAAACACAUUUUUGAUGUUAUACCUGACUAUAAAAGCCCUAAGGUACAAAUUGUGCUGGCAGUUGCAUCUUACCUUCAACUGGGCUUUCAACAGAGUUGCAGAUUCAGCAUAUUUCUGUCAUAAAUAAACAGAUUUCUCAUUUAUCUAUUUUGGAUCCCCCCUAAAAUCAAAUGCGUUUACUAACUUAUUUCUGAGCUACAAAAGAUAUUUCCCCUUUUAUUUUUAAAUAAAAAUAGAGGUCUGAUUUUUUUCACCUGGUCUUGUGUAAAGCAUACAUUUACUAUCCCUUCUUCCUGAAUCUUUGUUAUAUUUUGUAACCUCUAUGGAUCAUGAUAACAGCAUACUAGGUGAUUAAGGUCUACCUCAAGAAAGUUGGAACUAGCACUGAGAAUAAACUACUGGGUUGUUUUACUAAGGAAAGUGUUUUUUUUAAAACCUUACUUUAUGGUACAUAAACACAGGGAUCUUUAAAGAUGGUGUCAUAGGCAAAACAAUUUUGAUAGAGCUCAAAGAGUUUAUUUCAGAGAUAAACACUGCUGGACAGGCAAGGCAAUUUUUAGGCAAUAUUGCAAGUAAGAAGGAAAUUUUAUUUUUAGUAUUUAUCUAUCUGUUUUUUGUCUUUCUUUUUUGCUUACAUUCUGGUAGUAACUCCCUGUAAUUGUCUGGCGCUUCCACCUAAUUACCCCAAGGCCCCAAACUGUAGCAUCCCACCUCGGAAUAUCUAGUCCAGAGAGGAAUGGUAUGUUACUGUGAUCUAUUUUCUUGUCCUUGUCAAAAUCUCCAUUUAGUCAUAUUGGAUAUAUUUAUUAAAUUCUUAAGAAGAAAACAAGCAUAUAAUACUAAUUCAGGCUAAAGUGUCAUUGACUAGCAGUAUACACCUCAGAAAUAUGAAGCCAACUUCUGAAAAGUAGAAUUUCUGGCAAAGACAACUCAGUCGUUUUUAAAUUUGUAUACAAGAUUGAAUGUUGUUACUAUUUUUUAUAUUUUAUUUUUUUCUGUUUUUGAAAAUGCUAUUAAAUAAUUACUCAAACUUUUUGUUUUUUAACUUGGGAAGAAACAUUUAGAAAAUUUUAUAUUCAUGUAUCCAGUUAGUAUUUCAGGAACACUUCCACUUGAUCCUGGAACUCACAACUCUAUUUUAAAAUGAAGCCAGUCAUCAAUAAUUACCUUAAAAACAAAAGUUUGUGUUACUGUUCUUAUGACUUGAUUUGUGAGUACUGAUAAGCCCACCAAGUCAUAUUUGAUGGAAGUAAUAAGCUGUCGAAAGUCUAUGGACUUAACUUCCUCAAAAUGCAUAUAUUACUCUCAGUUCUAUAAAACCUGAUGGUAAACUACAGAGAAAAGCAUUUGCUUUAAGCUUUGGUUUUACAGAUUAUGUUUUCUACUGUUUCUUUUUCUGCAGAAUUUGCCCCUGAAUUUCAGUCAGGUGCCCACAAGUUGGCAGUAAAAUGACACACUCAUGUGAUUCACAUGGUUGAGACCAAACCACAAAGUUUUGGCUAUAGUGGUCUGUAAGAAGUAAUAAUUAAUUUUGUUUAUUUUACAAAAGAUGCAUUUUCAUUAAAAUAAAUAAUAUUGGGUAAGUUUUAUCUACUUGAAAGCAUAUAACUUCUUUCAGAACAAUUAUUUCUUAACAUAAAUCCCUAAGGCAUGAUUAGGUUAUUUCUUCCUAAUCACUUCACCAGUUCUCUUUAAUUACAAUCUCUUUUAAACACUGAGUUACUUCUCAUUCUUCCUUCUGUUCAUGUUUUACGACCUAGCCAUUCUGAUCCUUUGAGUGAAUCUUGAGUUCUUGGCUAACUUGAUGAUAGGGCUCCUUUGGAUUUUUUUUUUUUUUCUUAGUUAUAGUGGCACUAAUUUCUGUAACAAAAGCAAAGCUUUUCUGUGAUUGUUUGCCACCAAACUUUUUUUUUUUUUUUUUGUCUUUUGUAUUUAUAAGGCCACACCCACAGCAUAUGGAGGUUCCCAGGCUAGGAGUCUAAUCCGAGCAGUUGCUCCCAGCCUACACCAGAGCCACAGCAACACCAGGUCGGAGCCGACCUACACCACAGCUCGCAGCAACACCGGAUCCUUAACAUACUGAGCGAGGCCAGGGAUCCAAUUGCAACCUCAUGGUUCUUCUCGGAUUCGUUUCCGCUGAGCCAUGAUGGGAACUCCUGCCACCAAACUUCUUUUACCAGGCAGUGGCCUUUCUUUCUCUGUGUGCAGUCUGGUUCAUUCCCUGGAAAUUCAUUGUAUGCCUUGUUUUAGCCAUUGUCCUGUACUAGGCACUGGGAAGAGAAGAGUAAUGAUGAUUCUCUUGGUCUCUGUUCCCACAAUAGAGCUAACCAUCUAGUAGAGGUUAUAGACCAACCAGCGGAUCAUUACAAAAUAAUCUUGCUUUAAUUUCACCAAGAACAAUUUGAGAUUAAGUCCUAAGUCUUACUUUAUUAGCCUCUGGAACCCAUCCCUAUGUGCCGCAAUAAUAAUUUCUUUAUUGCUCUUAGUUUCUAGUUCUUUUUUCUCAUAUUGAUUCAAACUGUCAUGAGAGGUAGGCUGUGAAAUAGCCAGACACAGUCCUUUAUCAGAGGACAGCAUAUUUCAUAAAAUGUUGGAAUGUAACACACUUGGAUUUGAAUCUUGAUCUGAAAUUUACUGCAUUACUUAUAGAAAUCAUUUAACUCUAGUCUGAAUCUUGAACUCUUGUGUGUAAAAUGGAAAUUAUAAUGCUUAGAUUUGGGGUAGGUUGAGAGAUUUUAAUGACUUCACCUGUGUAAACUCCCCAGUAUAAACAAGUACUCUGUACAUAUCAUUUCUGUUCUCUGCCUCUAGUCUAUUUCAAAUUAUGUUAUGAAUAUCUAAUUUCACUGAAAGGAUAUUAAUAAUCUAGUUUCUAGGAAUAAUCUUUUUGUUAAGGCCAGCCCAUAUUCAAGGGAAGGAAUACUAGAUUCCACCUUUCAGUGAGAAGACCAGCAAGGAAUUUGUAGUCAUCUUUCACCUUCCGCAGUUAUAUAGUUUUUCUUCAUUGAUUUAUAGAAGUUCUUUAUAUAUUCUGUUUUAAUCUCAUGCAGAUAACAUGUUUUCGAAUGAUCUCUCCCACCAUGGCUCUUUUCACUCACAUCUGAGGAACUGAGAUGCUCAGUGCAUCUCAGAAGACAUCCCCCACCUUAUCUAGUCC